rnacentral:rRNA from 1 species
UACGGGGGGGGCAAGCGUUGUUCGGAAUUACUGGGCGUAAAGGGCUCGUAGGUGGCCAACUAAGUCAGACGUGAAAUCCCUCGGCUUAACCGGGGAACUGCGUCUGAUACUGGAUGGCUUGAGUUUGGGAGAGGGAUGCGGAAUUCCAGGUGUAGCGGUGAAAUGCGUAGAUAUCUGGAGGAACACCGGUGGCGAAGGCGGCAUCCUGGACCAAUACCGACACUGAGGAGCGAAAGCCAGGGGAGCAAACGGG